GACGAACGCUGGCGGCGUGCCUAAUACAUGCAAGUAGAACGCUGAAGAGAGGAGCUUGCUCUUCUUGGAUGAGUUGCGAACGGGUGAGUAACGCGUAGGUAACCUGCCUUGUAGCGGGGGAUAACUAUUGGAAACGAUAGCUAAUACCGCAUAACAAUGUAUGACACAUGUCAUUUAUUUGAAAGGGGCAAUUGCUCCACUACAAGAUGGACCUGCGUUGUAUUAGCUAGUAGGUUAGGUAAUGGCUCACCUAGGCGACGAUACAUAGCCGGCCUGAGAGGGGUGACGGGCCACAUGGGAAUGAGAACCGGGCCAGGACCCCAAGGGAGGGAGCAGUAGGGAAUCUUCGGCAAUGGGGGCAACCCUGACCGAGCAACGCCGGGUGAGUGAAGAAGGUUUUCGGAUCGUAAAGCUCUGGUGUAAGUCAAGAACGGGUGUGAGAGUGGAAAGUUCACACUGUGACGGUAGCUUACCAGAAAGGGACGGCUAACUACGUG
rnacentral:rRNA from 1 species